rnacentral:rRNA from 1 species
CCCUUAGAUGUUCUGGGCCGCACGCGCGCUACACUGACGAAUGCAACGAGCUUAUAACCUUGGCCGAAAGGUCUGGGUAAUCUCCAAAUUUCGUCGUGAUGGGGAUAGAUUAUUGCAAUUAGUAAUCUUCAACGAGGAAUGCCUAGUAAGCGCAAGUCAUCAGCUUGCGUUGAUUACGUCCCUGCCCUUUGUACACACCGCCCGUCGCUCCUACCGAUUGAAUGGUCCGGUGAAGCGUUCGGACCGUGGCCUUUGGACGGUUCGCCGUCUGUUGGCUGCGGGAAGUUCGUUAAACCUUAUCAUUUAGAGGAAGGAGAAGUCGUAACA